AGGAAUAUUGGUCAAUGGGCGAGAGCCUGAACCAGCCAAGUAGCGUGCAGGAUGACGGCCCUAUGGGUUGUAAACUGCUUUUAUAAGGGAAUAAAGUGAGAGUCGUGACUCUUUUUGCAUGUACCUUAUGAAUAAGGACCGGCUAAUUCCGUGCCAGCAGCCGCGGUAAUACGGAAGGUCCGGGCGUUAUCCGGAUUUAUUGGGUUUAAAGGGAGCGUAGGCCGGAGAUUAAGCGUGUUGUGAAAUGUAGACGCUCAACGUCUGCACUGCAGCGCGAACUGGUUUCCUUGAGUACGCACAAAGUGGGCGGAAUUCGUGGUGUAGCGGUGAAAUGCUUAGAUAUCACGAAGAACUCCGAUUGCGAAGGCAGCUCACUGGAGCGCAACUGACGCUGAAGCUCGAAAGUGCGGGUAUCGAACAGGAUUAGAUACCCUGGUAGUCCGCACGGUAAACGAUGGAUGCCCGCUGUUGGUCUGAACAGGUCAGCGGCCAAGCGAAAGCAUUAAGCAUCCCACCUGGGGAGUACGCCGGCAACGGUGAAACUCAAAGGAAUUGACGGGGGCCCGCACAAGCGGAGGAACAUGUGGUUUAAUUCGAUGAUACGCGAGGAACCUUACCCGGGCUUGAAUUGCAGAGGAAGGAUUUGGAGACAAUGACGCCCUUCGGGGCCUCUGUGAAGGUGCUGCAUGGUUGUCGUCAGCUCGUGCCGUGAGGUGUCGGCUUAAGUGCCAUAACGAGCGCAACCCCUCUCCUUAGUUGCCAUCAGGUUAAGCUGGGCACUCUGGGGACACUGCCACCGUAAGGUGUGAGGAAGGUGGGGAUGACGUCAAAUCAGCACGGCCCUUACGUCCGGGGCUACACACGUGUUACAAUGGCAGGUACAGAGAGACGGUCCCUUGCAAAAUGGAUCAAAUCCUUAAAGCCUGUCUCAGUUCGGACUGGGGUCUGCAACCCGACCCCACGAAGCUGGAAUCGCUAGUAAUCGCAGGUCAGCAUACUGCGGUGAAUACGUUCCCG
rnacentral:rRNA from 1 species